rnacentral:lncRNA from 1 species
AAAUUGUCUCCACAUUAACAAGUACCCAUGCUGCUGAAUUCAAUAGCGCUAGCCUUCAUGAUGUCGCUCUUCGAUUCCGGCUACUGAGGCAGCAAGGGUUUUGGGUAUCUACAGGUAAAACAGUGCAUUUUUUAAUUAAAUAGUACAUUUGGUAUUAUUAGGAGAAGUUUCUUCUAUAAAUAGAUUGUUCUUAAACUUUUGAUAAUUUUACAUGUAAGGCGACACACACUUGCUUGCUAGUACUGAUACAGAAACCUCAUCACUCACAGAAUGCACAUAAAAGAAACUUUUUCUAGAAAAUCAAUGUGUUAGUAGCUUAAAAAAGUACAAAACUUAUGCAGCUAAUGCAGGGACAGUCACGCAGUACUGGCUAAUGUUCUCACAAGAGGUACCAUGUAUCUGUUGCAGAUGUAUUCAGCAAGUUCAAAGAUGAAGAUGGGGCCUUCCUUGUUGACAUAACUAAUGACACAAGGGGACUAUUAAGUUUAUACAAUGCAGCAUACCUUUUUACUCAUGGGGAGACGGAGCUUGAAGAAAGUAUCUUGUUUGCAAGACAACACCUUGAAUCGAUGGAGAGUUACCUUAAGUACCCAUUGGCUGACCAAGUCAGGCGUUCUCUUC